CUGGCUCAGGACGAACGCUGGCGGCGUGCCUAAUACAUGCAAGUCGAGCGGACAGAUGGGAGCUUGCUCCCUGAUGUUAGCGGCGGACGGGUGAGUAACACGUGGGUAACCUGCCUGUAAGACUGGGAUAACUCCGGGAAACCGGGGCUAAUACCGGAUGCUUGUUUGAACCGCAUGGUUCAAACAUAAAAGGUGGCUUCGGCUACCACUUACAGAUGGACCCGCGGCGCAUUAGCUAGUUGGUGAGGUAACGGCUCACCAAGGCAACGAUGCGUAGCCGACCUGAGAGGGUGAUCGGCCACACUGGGACUGAGACACGGCCCAGACUCCUACGGGAGGCAGCAGUAGGGAAUCUUCCGCAAUGGACGAAAGUCUGACGGAGCAACGCCGCGUGAGUGAUGAAGGUUUUCGGAUCGUAAAGCUCUGUUGUUAGGGAAGAACAAGUACCGUUCGAAUAGGGCGGUACCUUGACGGUACCUAACCAGAAAGCCACGGCUAACUACGUGCCAGCAGCCGCGGUAAUACGUAGGUGGCAAGCGUUGUCCGGAAUUAUUGGGCGUAAAGGGCUCGCAGGCGGUUUCUUAAGUCUGAUGUGAAAGCCCCCGGCUCAACCGGGGAGGGUCAUUGGAAACUGGGGAACUUGAGUGCAGAAGAGGAGAGUGGAAUUCCACGUGUAGCGGUGAAAUGCGUAGAGAUGUGGAGGAACACCAGUGGCGAAGGCGACUCUCUGGUCUGUAACUGACGCUGAGGAGCGAAAGCGUGGGGAGCGAACAGGAUUAGAUACCCUGGUAGUCCACGCCGUAAACGAUGAGUGCUAAGUGUUAGGGGGUUUCCGCCCCUUAGUGCUGCAGCUAACGCAUUAAGCACUCCGCCUGCCGUAGUACGGUCGCAAGACUGAAACUCAAAGGAAUUGACGGGGGCCCGCACAAGCGGUGGAGCUUGUGGUUUAAUUCGAAGCAACGCGAAGAACCUUACCAGGUCUUGACAUCCUCUGACAAUCCUAGAGAUAGGACGUCCCCUUCGGGGGCAGAGUGACAGGUGGUGCAUGGUUGUCGUCAGCUCGUGUCGUGAGAUGUUGGGUUAAGUCCCGCAACGAGCGCAACCCUUGAUCUUAGUUGCCAGCAUUCAGUUGGGCACUCUAAGGUGACUGCCGGUGACAAACCGGAGGAAGGUGGGGAUGACGUCAAAUCAUCAUGCCCCUUAUGACCUGGGCUACACACGUGCUACAAUGGACAGAACAAAGGGCAGCGAAACCGCGAGGUUAAGCCAAUCCCACAAAUCUGUUCUCAGUUCGGAUCGCAGUCUGCAACUCGACUGCGUGAAGCUGGAAUCGCUAGUAAUCGCGGAUCAGCAUGCCGCGGUGAAUACGUUCCCGGGCCUUGUACACACCGCCCGUCACACCACGAGAGUUUGUAACACCCGAAGUCGGUGAGGUAACCUUUUAGGAGCCAGCCGCCGAAGGUGGGACAGAUGAUUGGGGUGAAGUCGUAACAAG
rnacentral:rRNA from 2 species